UAAUCAUAAAAACUUGGAUAA
ensembl:piRNA 21ur-7168 ncRNA